rnacentral:rRNA from 1 species
GACGAACGCUGGCGGCGUGCUUAACACAUGCAAGUCGAACGGAAAGGCCCUGCUUUUGUGGGGUGCUCGAGUGGCGAACGGAUGAGUAACCCGUGAGUAACCUGCCCUUGACUUUGGGAUAACUUCAGGAAACUGGGGCUAAUACCGGAUAGGAGCUCCUGCUGCCAGGUGGGGGUUGGAAAGUUUCGGCGGUUGGGGAUGGACUCGCGGCUUAUCAGCUUGUUGGUGGGGUAGUGGCUUACCAAGGCUUUGACGGGUAGCCGGCCUGAGAGGGUGACCGGCCACAUUGGGACUGAGAUACGGCCCAGACUCCUACGGGAGGCAGCAGUGGUGAAUAUUGCACAAUGGGCGGAAGCCUGAUGCAGCAACGCCGCGUGCUGGAUGACGGCCUUCGGGUUGUCAACCGCUUUCGCCUGUGACGAAGCGUGAGUGACGGUAAUGGGUAAAGAAGCACCGGCUAACUACGUG